rnacentral:rRNA from 1 species
UCUUUCCUCCGGCCGGCCGACCGGCGCGACGGGUGAAGUAACACGUAUGCAACCUGCCCCUGUCAGGGGGACAACCCGCCGAAAGGCGGGCUAAACCCGCGUACAUGCCACCGGGGCAUCCCGGAGGCAGGAAAGGCUUCGGCCGGACAGGGAUGGGCAUGCGGCGCAUUAGGCAGUAGGCGGGGUAACGGCCCACCUAACCGACGAUGCGUAGGGGUUCUGAGAGGAAGGUCCCCCACACUGGUACUGAGACACGGACCAGACUCCUACGGGAGGCAGCAG